rnacentral:rRNA from 1 species
AUAUUGGACAAUGGGGGCAACCCUGAUCCAGCCAUGCCGCGUGUGUGAAGAAGGCCUUCGGGUUGUAAAGCACUUUAAGUGGGGAAAAAGGCUCGGCAGCUAAUAUCUGCCGGGAUUGAUACUACCCACAGAAUAAGCACCGGCUAACUCUGUGCCAGCAGCCGCGGUAAUACAGAGGGUGCAAGCGUUAAUCGGAAUUACUGGGCGUAAAGCGCGCGUAGGCGGCUGCUUAAGUCGGAUGUGAAAUCCCCGGGCUCAACCUGGGAACUGCACUCGAUACUGGGCGGCUAGAGUAUGAGAGAGGGAGGUAGAAUUCCACGUGUAGCGGUGAAAUGCGUAGAUAUGUGGAGGAAUACCGGUGGCGAAGGCGGCCUCCUGGUUCAAUACUGACGCUGAGGUGCGAAAGCGUGGGGAGCAAACAGG